ACUCAACUAGUUUAAUUAAAACGUUAAAUUGUGGAUUUAAAAAUACAGACAUGUGUUGGGUC
rnacentral:tRNA from 1 species